GACAACUAAAUAGCGAUCGCCAAUAUAAUAUGGAUAAUUCGGUUCCAUAGUCUCUACCAGACGACCUAAUCGCCUGACUAUUGGUUUCAUUUCGUCCACG
rnacentral:ncRNA from 2 species